rnacentral:lncRNA from 1 species
UGUACGAUACGGAAACACACAUUCACAUACUCAUAGAUGUUCUGCAAUUUACAGAAAAACACAUUCACAUUCCCACUGCAUACCACAUUCUACAGAAACACACAUUCACAUGGUGACUGCGCUCCACUUCUGCCUUCUAAAGAAACACACAUACACAUGCCAAAUGCCAUGGCUGCACUUUACAGUAACACACAUUCACAUGCUCACUACAUACAGCACUCUAUAGAAAUAUACAUUCACAUGCCCAC